rnacentral:rRNA from 1 species
AUUGAACGCUGGCGGCAGGCCUAACACAUGCAAGUCGAGCGGAUGAAGGGAGCUUCCUCCUGGAUUUAGCGGCGGACGGGUGAGUAAUGCCCAGGAAUCUGCCUGGCAGUGGGGGAUAACGUUCGGAAACGGGCGCUAAUACUGCAGACGACCUGAGGUCGAAAGGGGGGGACCUUCGGACCUCACGCUUUCAGAUGAGCCUAGCCCGCAUUAGCCAGUUGGUGGGGUUAAGGCCUACCAAGGCGACGAUCCGUAACUGGUUUGAGAGGCUGAUCAGUCACACUGGAAGGGAGAGUAGGUCCAGACUACUGCGGGACGCAACAGUGAGGAACAUGGAACCAUGCGCGAAAGCCUUAUACAGCCAUGCCGAGUGUAUGAAGAAGGUCUUCGGAUUGUAAAGCACAUUAAGUUGGGAGGAAGGUCAGUAAGUUAAUACCUUGCUGUUUUGACGUUACCAACAGAAUAAGCACCGGCUAACUUCGUG